UACGUAGGGUGCGAGCGUUAAUCGGAAUUACUGGGCGUAAAGCGUGCGCAGGCGGUUCGUUGUGUCGGUGGUGAAAUCCCCGGGCUUAACCUGGGAAUGGCCAUGGAAACUGGCGAACUGGAGUGCGGCAGAGGGGGGUGGAAUUCCGCGUGUAGCAGUGAAAUGCGUAGAUAUCGGGAGGAACACCUAUGGCGAAAGCAGGUUUCUGGUCCGUCACUGACGCUGAGCUGCGAAAGCUAGGGGAGCAAACAGG
rnacentral:rRNA from 1 species